rnacentral:lncRNA from 1 species
GCCACGACGGGAACUCCAAAAGUGGCAUUUCUUAAUAGCAUCAUUGGAACUUAUAAGAAGGUGGAAUGAUGGCUUCAAAAUUCUAGGUGCAAACGGGUCUCGAUCUAAAAUUCUAGACCCAGUUUUGGCAGGUGAUACAGGUUGGUGCACUCAACACCCACUCCGCUCUCCUAACAGCAUCCUCUGCCUUCGGCACAAGAAAGCUGAAGACCGUGUUUCCCAGGCUCUCCCGCAGUAGCAGUUCUGCAGGUUACCAAGGACCUGUCAAGCAAACUGACCUGGAAGAGAUUUGGAAGAUGGAGAUGUGUGAAGUGGCAGCUACCCGGGUGACACUUAAGCAACUCCAAAGGGAAUGAUUUAAACUGCUCUCUCAGCCAAGUAUCUAGGGAGCAGCAUCUGAAUAUAUUUUACACGAAGAGGAAUGGAGUAGCUUUAUGCAAUAAGAUGAAGGUCUGGCUUCUGUCCUAGAAUAAGGUAAGAUCAUUUCAUUGGUUAUCAGCUGGACACUCAGAAAAAGAUAAACAUUUGCGGAUUCAAGGAUGGUAUUUAAAGAAAUACUGUAUGGAACUAUAAAGUCUAAUGCUACCUGGAAUUUUCAAAAUCAUCAGAAUAAUCAUAUUUGAACGUGUCACAAAGCAAUGUGCCAUCUUAUAAAUUAUACAUUCAUUUGCUUGGUUCUUAUCCAUGAAAUUCUUAGGUAAGUUACUGUUUGUCUUUUCUUCCCCCCCGCAUCCUUUUCCUGCUGUGUAGGUUGUAAAGUCUCAGAAUAGAUACUGACAGUUAAAAAAACAAAAUCAUAUAACUUACCAUAAUAUAUUCCAGCAUGUAAGAGGAACACAAAGUUUAAACCUAGUUCUCAUUUAUUUUUGUCAGUAUAAAUCUCUGCUAAUGCUUUCAGGUGAGACAGGCCAGGACUCUCAUAAAUCAUUGGCAUUAAUGCCCUCUUGAGGCUCCAGAUCUCAGCCCUUGGUGUUUUCGUUUUUUCCUUUGGCUGGUUGGUUUUUUUUCCUUCUUAGUUUGGAGAGAGAAGCUAAACCUCCUUUGUUGCUAAUCUACACUUCUGCUUGGUACCUGUGGGAAAAGUGCCUGAGCCCACAGAGUCCUCUAAUAAAGCUGAGGAGGAGGAGGAUGCUGAUGGGUGA